UCGAUUGGCUACGUACCCCUCUUCUUAUUAAUACAAGAGCAUUUACAAGUUUUUUCGAAGGAGGAAUCACUGCAGUAUUUUGGUUCGCUUCGAAAGUUAAGUUAUGAUCCAACAGGCGAAGAAAUUGAAAAAUAACGCUUCUCAAAACAGUUAGCAAUGAUCAGGCGCCGUGUGCCUGGUGCUGACAUCAGGAUUAUUGAGCUCGAGAAAGCCGGGGGCUGCCACAGGAAAGCGAAACCGCGGCAGCAAGAAUCUUCGGGUACACCACACCAUGAUCUAUGCACCCAUGCCAGAUGCAAACCACCAUGAUUGCGAAGGUCAAAGCAGGCCCCAGAUCGGAAGUAGUAGUAGUACAACAUAUGUACUAUUCCAAUGCUAACAGCAUAUACAGUACUAAACUAAUAAAGCACUUGGAAUCUUCCAUGAAGAAAUUGCCCAGCUGAUGCCUGUGUGCAUGACCGUUGACUAGACCGGGUAAGACGGCAGAUAACAUUAUCAGCUGGUACACAUCGGAUGAAC
rnacentral:lncRNA from 1 species